rnacentral:rRNA from 1 species
AGCUCGUAGUUGAAUUUCGGGGUUAGUAGGUUGGUCAUGCCUCUGGUAUGUACUGGUCUCACUGAUUCCUCCUUCCUUAUGAACCGUAAUGCCAUUAAUUUGGUGUUGCGGGAAAUUUGGACUGUUACUUUGAAAAAAUUAGAGUGUUUAAAGCAAGCUAACGCUUGAAUACAUUAGCAUGGAAUAAUGAAAUAGGACGUUCGAUCUUAUUUUGUUGGUUUCUAGGAUUGACGUAAUGAUUAAUAGGGAUAGUUGGGGGCAUUAGUAUUCAAUUGUCAGAGGUGAAAUUCUUGGAUUUAUUGAAGACUAACUACUGCGAAAGCAUUUGCCAAGGAUGUUUUCAUUAAUCAAGAACGAAAGUUAGGGGAUCGAAGACGAUCAGAUACCGUCGUAGUCUUAACCAUAAACUAUGCCGACUAGGGAUCGGAUGAUGUUAAUUUUUUAAUGACUCAUUCGGCACCU